UUCUACCCUCUCGAUCCAUUCACACUCCAUAGAAGUGAAGAGCUUCUUCCUCUCUCCGUCCACGCUUUCUCCAUCGCAGGAGCUUCUUUUACCGCCGCCGUUCUCUCCAUCGCUCCGUCCACGAUCUCAUCACUGAACUCAGCAAUGGUCAUUCGCUGGUCAUCCUCAUCCACCAGUUCAGGUAUGGCUUCAGGAAUUGAAACUAUUACACACCAAACAAACCAACAAACCCUAGCAACAACAUUAUCAAUCUUACUCUCACAACCAUUUGCAAUCAUCUGUUCAGUUUAGUUGAGAAUUAUAGAAGGGUCAAUCAGUUGCCGUUAAAGAAAUGGAUUCACAGCUUCAAUUUUUUUCAAAUACUAAACAAAGCAAUGAUUUUUUUUGGAAGAACUUAGAAAAUUGUAAUAGUACUGGAAUAAAAUUUAUUUAUUUAUUUAUUUCUGAAAUAAAUGGUUUUUAGAUUUGGAUUGAAGAUGGUUUGAAAGGGUAAAAAUAGGAGGAAGUGAGCAUUUACAAGCUUUGCUGGUUGGUGAAACAUGACCUACAAUUCAAGAUCUUUCUCUCAUCAAGGUCCCCACAGUCAUUAAUUGAAGCUUAAAAACAAGAAGUUUUGGUGUUUGAGCUGUGUUUGUAACAUCCUAAAAUUGGGAGAAGAAGGACAAGCUGAGAAAGAAGCCAAGGAAGGAAGAUCUAAGAUUCUCCAAGUUCUGUUGCAAACUAGCCACAUUCUCCCUUAAAGCUUCAUUUUUUAGCUUCAAAAAAGUAGGAUAUUCUUGUUUAAUUGAUUUAGUUGAAUGCAUGUGAGUGUAGGCUAAUUAGCAAGUAGGCUUGCUUUUGGCUGGGUAGGAAGAUCAUUGAUUCUUGUUUUAGUUUAAUACAUAUUGGUCUAGGAUAAUUAUUUGUGAUUAUAUGUCUUUUCAUGUGAUGUUUUACAGUUUGAUUAUUGAUUCACUUUUAAUUUGUUGGAUUAUCUGAUUUAUGUUGAUGAUGAUA